rnacentral:sRNA from 1 species
AGCCUAAACCAAUGAGCAAUCAUUGGCAUGGCGAAAAACCUGUAACAGACAAAGAACCCAUCAUAUGUGGUUACUGUUACAGGUCCCUACAGGAAACUGUAGGUGGAGGGCUUCGGCCCUC